UGGGGAAUUUUGGACAAUGGGCGAAAGCCUGAUCCAGCAAUGCCGCGUGUGUGAAGAAGGCCUUCGGGUUGUAAAGCACUUUUGUCCGGAAAGAAAUCCUUGGCUCUAAUACAGUCGGGGGAUGACGGUACCGGAAGAAUAAGCACCGGCUAACUACGUGCCAGCAGCCGCGGUAAUACGUAGGGUGCAAGCGUUAAUCGGAAUUACUGGGCGUAAAGCGUGCGCAGGCGGUUUGCUAAGACCGAUGUGAAAUCCCCGGGCUCAACCUGGGAACUGCAUUGGUGACUGGCAGGCUAGAGUAUGGCAGAGGGGGGUAGAAUUCCACGUGUAGCAGUGAAAUGCGUAGAGAUGUGGAGGAAUACCGAUGGCGAAGGCAGCCCCCUGGGCCAAUACUGACGCUCAUGCACGAAAGCGUGGGGGAGCAAACAGGAUUAGAUACCCUGGUAGUCCACGCCCUAAACGAUGUCAACUAGUUGUUGGGGAUUCAUUUCCUUAGUAACGUAGCUAACGCGUGAAGUUGACCGCCUGGGGAGUACGGUCGCAAGAUUAAAACUUAAAGGAAUUGAC
rnacentral:rRNA from 1 species